GGGGCGGAAGUAGCUUCUGCCCGCUGACGGGAUAGACCUUUCAGGGAUGUGACGCCACCGCGGAAGUGAAGGCAGGUUCUGCUAAGGAAAGGGGCCGAACCUUCCGAAGAGCGGUCUCGGCUUCCGGAAGGGACUUCUGGGGAAGUGGGAGGGUGGGAACGCGACAGCUUCAUGAAUUAUGCAUCAAGGGGCCUUUAUUCGUGCCUUCUGCAUAUGGAUGAGCCUCGGGGUCACACUGUCCCUCUGAAGAGGAAGGUGGGCUCAUGAGGCAGAACCAGGGGACUCAGGUAUCUUGCAAAGGCUUUAUUUGAAAAUUUUGAAACUUACAUCCCACAAGAAUUCAAGAUUAUCACCACAAGAAGAAAGAGAUAAUACAAAAAUAUAUAUCACAGCAUAGGAGCCAGGUAAGAGAGGAAAGAAGGAAGGAAGGUGGGAAAGCCAUGAGAAGUUGGGACAAACCUGAGGGGUGGAGGGGACAAAAGGCAGGAGAGUUGGAGGAACCAAGGAGGGAGGGAGGGGCAGGUUGGGAGGCAGAGCUCCUGAUGGCCUUAAACCAGCUGGCCCCGGUCCCUGGCAGCCUAGGUGGAAUUAGGGAGGCCCUCAGGGGGACUGGAAAGUGGAGGACUUGAUUGGGGGGGACGAUGGGGAGGAAAGGGGGCUCUGAGUUCCAGAGUGACACGCACAGACAGCCAGGACAGAAGAGACAGAAGGACUUGGGAGGCAGGGGAGGGCAAAUGGGGGCCCCUUUCUCCUGCACUGCAGCAGGAGGCUCCCCAAAAGCCAUCUCCCAGACAACAGAAUUUAGCAGUGGGGCUGGGGAGGAGUUUUGGGGCCUCAUGACUCCCCAUUUCCACAGGGGAGUCCUUAGAGUGGGAUGGGGGACAUGGUAAAACCCACGACGUGGAGUGGGGUGGGACCGGGACAGAUGGGGCCCAAAGAGCCCCCAGCUCAUCUCCCACCCCCCUCCAGGGCAGCAUGCAGGGGACACAGAAACUCCACCCGUGGGUGUUCACGAAGUGGAGUGUGAGCACGACAUUUACAACAUCACAACGAGGGGCCGGGAAAUGCACAUGAGAGGUACACCCACUGACCGCUGAGUGAUGGGCUGAGCGCAGGACGAGGGAGGAGAGGAAGUGAAAAGUGUGAGACAAAAGGGAGGACACGGGGAGCCUCGGAGGGGGGAUGUGGGUGGAGAGACUGGCUGUACAAGAGCGUGAGUGUGCGAUGGCCUGAGAGGGAAGAGGUGAGUGUGCAAGGCUCGUGUGAGUGUGCCAGGGUGGGGACCGGGGGGCCAGAAGCCACAGAUAAGUGAGGCCCCCACCUCAAGGAGGGUGAGCAGCUGGGCUUGCCUGUGGGCCAGCGAGUGUUCCCAAGGUAUAAGCCCAGGCAGAGCCGCAGCGCCCACAGCCGCCGUGCCCUCAGCAGGAUGGGGGCUAUGCCGGGCCCUUGGCCCCCUGCCUGGAGGUGCCCCAACCUUGGGGGACAUCACAGAUUCACCAGGGGAAUCCUAAGGGGAAAAGGGAAAGGGCACAGUCAGGAACCAAGGGGCAAGCCAGAAUCAGGAGGGCAGUUCAAGAAAUAAAAGGGAUGGAGAUUAAGGGGGCAAGGUGGAGUGAAAUGGCAGCAUGAAAACAGGACAUAGAUCUACAGGGAGACAGGUGGGGCCCCCCAGAGAGCAGAGGUCCAGUCUCCUGAGCGUGGGCCAGUCUGCCUCCUCCCCACCCACCCAGUGGGGAGCGCCCCACCCACUGCCACUGCCCGCCUCCCUGCCCUCUGCCCUGCCCUCACCGGUUCAGCUGGAAGGCUGGUGCCCCCUUGGGCUGGGGCAUCCCGGGCCGGGGCCCCCCUCGGGGUUCCUCGUGGUCAGGGGUGGGGGUGGGCGAGUCUCCGAAGGCCCCCAGCACAGUGACCCCGGCUGGGGACAGGUCAGUCAGGGGCUGCUGGC